rnacentral:tRNA from 1 species
GCGGAUGUGGUGGAACUGGUAGACACGCUAGACUUAGGAUCUAGUGCCGCGAGGCGUGGGGGUUCGACUCCCUUCAUCCGCA